rnacentral:rRNA from 1 species
GGGGAAUAUUGCACAAUGGGCGCAAGCCUGAUGCAGCGACGCCGCGUGGGGGAUGAAGGCCUUCGGGUUGUAAACUCCUUUCGCUAGGGACGAAGCUUUUUGUGACGGUACCUAGAUAAGAAGCACCGGCUAACUACGUGCCAGCAGCCGCGGUAAUACGUAGGGUGCGAGCGUUGUCCGGAAUUACUGGGCGUAAAGGGCUCGUAGGUGGUUUGUCGCGUCGUCUGUGAAAUUCUGGGGCUUAACUCCGGGCGUGCAGGCGAUACGGGCAUAACUUGAGUGCUGUAGGGGUAACUGGGAUUCCUGGUGUAGCGGUGAAAUGCGCAGAUAUCAGGAGGAACACCGAUGGCGAAGGCAGGUUACUGGGCAGUUACUGACGCUGAGGAGCGAAAGCAUGGGUAGCGAACAGGAUUAGAUACCCUGGUAGUCCAUGCCGUAAACGGUGGGCGCUAGGUGUGAGGGUCUUUCUACGACUUUCGUGCCGUAGCUAACGCAUUAAGCGCCCCGCCUGGGGAGUACGGCCGCAAGGCUA